AAAUUGAAGAGUUUGAUCAUGGCUCAGAUUGAACGCUGGCGGCAGGCCUAACACAUGCAAGUCGAGCGGUAACACAGAGAGCUUGCUCUCGGGUGACGAGCGGCGGACGGGUGAGUAAUGUCUGGGAAACUGCCUGAUGGAGGGGGAUAACUACUGGAAACGGUAGCUAAUACCGCAUAACGUCGCAAGACCAAAGUGGGGGACCUUCGGGCCUCAUGCCAUCAGAUGUGCCCAGAUGGGAUUAGCUAGUAGGUGGGGUAAUGGCUCACCUAGGCGACGAUCCCUAGCUGGUCUGAGAGGAUGACCAGCCACACUGGAACUGAGACACGGUCCAGACUCCUACGGGAGGCAGCAGUGGGGAAUAUUGCACAAUGGGCGCAAGCCUGAUGCAGCCAUGCCGCGUGUAUGAAGAAGGCCUUCGGGUUGUAAAGUACUUUCAGCGAGGAGGAAGGCAUUAAGGUUAAUAACCUUGGUGAUUGACGUUACUCGCAGAAGAAGCACCGGCUAACUCCGUGCCAGCAGCCGCGGUAAUACGGAGGGUGCAAGCGUUAAUCGGAAUUACUGGGCGUAAAGCGCACGCAGGCGGUCUGUCAAGUCGGAUGUGAAAUCCCCGGGCUCAACCUGGGAACUGCAUUCGAAACUGGCAGGCUAGAGUCUUGUAGAGGGGGGUAGAAUUCCAGGUGUAGCGGUGAAAUGCGUAGAGAUCUGGAGGAAUACCGGUGGCGAAGGCGGCCCCCUGGACAAAGACUGACGCUCAGGUGCGAAAGCGUGGGGAGCAAACAGGAUUAGAUACCCUGGUAGUCCACGCCGUAAACGAUGUCGACUUGGAGGUUGUGCCCUUGAGGCGUGGCUUCCGGAGCUAACGCGUUAAGUCGACCGCCUGGGGAGUACGGCCGCAAGGUUAAAACUCAAAUGAAUUGACGGGGGCCCGCACAAGCGGUGGAGCAUGUGGUUUAAUUCGAUGCAACGCGAAGAACCUUACCUACUCUUGACAUCCAGAGAACUUAGCAGAGAUGCUUUGGUGCCUUCGGGAACUCUGAGACAGGUGCUGCAUGGCUGUCGUCAGCUCGUGUUGUGAAAUGUUGGGUUAAGUCCCGCAACGAGCGCAACCCUUAUCCUUUGUUGCCAGCGGUCCGGCCGGGAACUCAAAGGAGACUGCCAGUGAUAAACUGGAGGAAGGUGGGGAUGACGUCAAGUCAUCAUGGCCCUUACGAGUAGGGCUACACACGUGCUACAAUGGCAUAUACAAAGAGAAGCGACCUCGCGAGAGCAAGCGGACCUCAUAAAGUAUGUCGUAGUCCGGAUUGGAGUCUGCAACUCGACUCCAUGAAGUCGGAAUCGCUAGUAAUCGUAGAUCAGAAUGCUACGGUGAAUACGUUCCCGGGCCUUGUACACACCGCCCGUCACACCAUGGGAGUGGGUUGCAAAAGAAGUAGGUAGCUUAACCUUCGGGAGGGCGCUUACCACUUUGUGAUUCAUGACUGGGGUGAAGUCGUAACAAGGUAACCGUAGGGGAACCUGCGGUUGGAUCACCUCCUUACCUUAAAGAA
rnacentral:rRNA from 1 species